AUUGAACGCUGGCGGAAUGCUUUACACAUGCAAGUCGAACGGCAGCACGGGGGCAACCCUGGUGGCGAGUGGCGAACGGGUGAGUAAUACAUCGGAACGUGCCCAGUCGUGGGGGAUAACGUAGCGGAAGCUACGCUAAUACCGCAUACGAACUGAGGUUGAAAGCGGGGGAUCGCAAGACCUCGCGCGAUUGGAGCGGCCGAUGGCAGAUUAGGUAGUGGGUGGGGUAAAGGCCUACCAAGCCGACGAUCUGUAGCUGGUCUGAGAGGACGACCAGCCACACUGGGACUGAGACACGGCCCAGACUCCUACGGGAGGCAGCAGUGGGGAAUUUUGGACAAUGGGCGCAAGCCUGAUCCAGCAAUGCCGCGUGCAGGAAGAAGGCCUUCGGGUUGUAAACUGCUUUUGUCAGGGAAGAAAUCUUCUGGGUUAAUACCCCGGGAGGAUGACGGUACCUGAAGAAUAAGCACCGGCUAACUACGUGCCAGCCGCCGCGGUAACAC
rnacentral:rRNA from 1 species